CACCGGCGGCCCGAGUGGUGGCCACUAUUAUUGGGUCUAAAGGGUCCGUAGCCGGUUUGAUCAGUCUUCCGGGAAAUCUGACAGCUCAACUGUUAGGCUUCCGGGGGAUACUGUCAGACUUGGGACCGGGAGAGGUAAGAGGUACUACAGGGGUAGGAGUGAAAUCUUGUAAUCCUUGUGGGACCACCAGUGGCGAAGGCGUCUUACCAGAACGGGUCCGACGGUGAGGGACGAAAGCUGGGGGCACGAACCGGAUUAGAUACCCGGGUAGUCCCAGCCGUAAACGAUGCUCGCUAGGUGUCUGGGAUGGUGCGACCGUUUCAGGUGCCGCAGGGAAGCCGUGAAGCGAGCCACCUGGGAAGUACGGCCGCAAGGCUGAAACUUAAAGGAACUGGCGGGGAGCACUACAACGGGUGGAGCCUGCGGUUU
rnacentral:rRNA from 1 species